rfam:Trichosporon oleaginosus strain IBC0246 unplaced genomic scaffold CC85scaffold_14, whole genome shotgun sequence.
GGGCGUGUAGCUCAGUUGGUAGAGCGUUCCAUUCGCAUGGUUAUCCGUGAUUUGGAAAGGUCUUUGGUUCGAUUCCUAACUCGUCCA